rnacentral:rRNA from 1 species
AUUGAACGCUGGCGGCAUGCCUAACACAUGCAAGUCGAACGGGGGUAGCAAUACCCUAGUGGCGGACGGGUGAGGAAUACAUAGGAAUUUGCCUUUAGGUGGGGGAUAGUCCGGGGAAACUCGGUUUAAUACCGCAUGAUGUCGCAAGACCAAAGCAGGGGAUCGCAAGACCUUGCGCCUUUAGAGAAGCCUAUGUCUGAUUAGCUAGUUGGUAGGGUAAUGGCCUACCAAGGCGACGAUCAGUAACUGGUCUGGGAGGACGAUCAGUCACACCGGAACUGAGACACGGUCCGGACUCCUACGGGAGGCAGCAGUGGGGAAUAUUGGACAAUGGGCGAAAGCCUGAUCCAGCAAUGCCGCGUGUGUGAAGAAGGCCUUCGGGUUGUAAAGCACUUUGAUCUGGGAAGAAAAAGCUUUGGCUAACAUCCAAAGCCUUGACGGUACCAGAGGAACAAGCACCGGCUAACUCUGUGCCAGCAGCCGCGGUAAUAC